UAAAAAUGAGUUUCAUAUGAAUCAAACAGUCUGGUUGAAACGGAUUAAAUCACGUGAAAGUAUAAUAGGUUUCUGCUUCUGUUUAUGUAGCAAAAUGACUGUAGUGAUUUUGAGUGCAGAAUAGGCUGUUUUUGUCAGUGGUUACUGUUGUUUUUUUUAUUGUUAGAGGAGAAGGCUUUGUGUGGCAGUUUGUGGUUUUCAGCCUUCAUAUAUAGAGGUCCUUGCAGGCUUUUCAACAAGACGUUUUUUUGCUAUUAUAACCACAAGUAUUUAGUUAGAUAAAUGGGAAAUGUUUAAUUAUAGACUGUGUGGGUUAGUUAUACAACUUUUUACUUUGCAGGCUGUUCAGCAAGGCUUGGUCUACUCUACUGUGACUCUGUCCUUUCCUGUAUGUCUGCUAAAGAGAUGUUGAGGUGGUUUGAGGCCUGGCUGUGUUCUUUUUACAGCGAGGUUAUAGAAACCUUAUGCAAAUUUUAACAGUGCCAUACAUUUCCUAGUGAUUUGAGGACUUUUUUUAUGUGUAUAGGCAAAGCAUGUUCUUACCUUCUGGUGAAUUCCUAAAUGUAUCUGAUGUAUAAACUUUCUGUAUUUUUCUGUUUGAUUUCAGCUUCUCAAUGUUCUGAAUGCCACCAUAUUUUAUACCAGGUUUGGGAGAACCAAAGAUUUCAGGGAACUCUGAAUGUUCUCUGAAUGUUCUGAAUGCCCCAUAUUUUGUGCCAGGUCUGAGGGAACUAAAGAAUUCGAAGUCUGGAUGUUCUCAGAAUGUUCUGAAUGUCACCAUUAGUUGUGCCAGGUGUGCUGGAACUAAAGUCUUGUGUGAAGUCUGGAGGUAAAAGGUUCUCAGAAUGUCACCAUUUGUUGUGCCAGUUAAGAUGGAACUAAAGACAUAUGAUGAUAUCUGGAUGAGAUCAGUGCUCUGGUGAUAUGCUGUUGGAUCUGCAAGAACAACACUGUUAACUUAAAUGUGAAACACUGUCAUUAUAUUUAUUCCUAAAGUAUUAAGAGUAAAAUACUUUUUUUUAUUAAAAGAAGUUUAUUUUUUCAA